rnacentral:rRNA from 1 species
AGGAUGAACGCUGGCGGCGUGCCUAACACAUGCAAGUCGAACGUCCUGUCUCGCAAGAGGCAGGGAGUGGCGGACGGGUGAGUACCACGUGGGUCAUCUACCGUGAGGUGAGGAAUACCGGCGAGAAAUCGCCGACAAGACCGCAUAGGCUCGAUGCAAGUCGAGCAAAGCUCUUUCGAGAGAGGGAGCGCCACACGAGGAGCCUGCGCCCGAUUAGCUAGCUGGUGGAGUAACGGUUCACCAGGGCGACGAUCGGUAGCUGGUCUGAGAGGACGAUCAGCCACACUGGGAUUGAGAACGGCCCAGACUCCUACGGGGGGCAGCAGUGAGGAAUUUUCGUCAAUGGGGGCAAACCCUGAACGAGCAACGCCGCGUGCAGGAAGAAGGUUUUCGGAUCGUAAACUGCUUUUCUCGGGGAAGAGAACGGACGGUACCCGAGGAAUCAGCCCCGGCUAACUACGCGCCAGCAGCCGCGGU